rnacentral:rRNA from 1 species
UACGGGGGGGGCAAGCGUUGUUCGGAAUUACUGGGCGUAAAGGGCUCGUAGGCGGCCAACUAAGUCAGGCGUGAAAUCCCCAGGCUCAACCUGGGAACUGCGUCUGAUACUGGAUGGCUUGAAUCCGGGAGAGGGAUGCAGAAUUCCAGGUGUAGCGGUGAAAUGCGUAGAUAUCUGGAGGAAUACCGGUGGCGAAGGCGGCAUCCUGGACCGGCAUUGACGCUGAGGAGCGAAAGCUAGGGGAGCAAACGGG